rnacentral:rRNA from 1 species
ACCUUCGAUGGGGGAUAACCUAGGGGAAACCUGGGCGUAAUACCGCAUAACAUCUUUGGAGUGGAAAUUCCGCAGAUCAAAGGAGCAAUUCGCUGGAAGAGGGGGUCGCGGCUGAUUAGCUAGUUGGCGGGGUAACGGCCCACCAAGGCUUUGAUCGGUAGCCGGCCUGAGAGGGCGCACGGCCACACUGGAACUGAAACACGGUCCAG